UACGUAGGGUCCGAGCGUUGUCCGGAGUUACUGGGCGUAAAGCGCGCGCAGGCGGCUCGUCAAGUCUGGCGUGAAAGCCCCCGGCUCAACCGGGGAGGGUCGUCGGAGACUGGCGGGCUUGAGGGCGGCAGGGGUUGGUGGAAUUCCCGGUGUAGUGGUGAAAUGCGUAGAGAUCGGGAGGAACCCCCGUGGCGAAGGCGGCCACCUGGGCCGGUCCUGACGCUGAGGCGCGAAGGCGUGGGAGCGAACGGG
rnacentral:rRNA from 1 species